rnacentral:lncRNA from 1 species
ACCUUUUGGCCCACUGAGGUUCUGCCAGGCCUCGCAAAGCAAGAAGCCAUGAGCCGGCUCACCCAAAGGAGCCUAGAAACCCUUGGACAGGCAGGGCUUCCACGGAGCCAGAACCCUCCUGUCUUGGUGGGUCCCGGACGCUGCGUUUCAGCGAGGGCCCAGGAGACCAGGGCUUUCCAAACUAACAUGUGUGUGAGUCACCUGGGGAGCUUGUUAAAUAGUGAACUCUGAUCUUAUAAGUCUGAUCCACCAGGGCCCGAGAUUCUGAUUCCCAAACAGCUUCCAAGUGAUGCUGAUGCUGCUGGUCUGGCCAGCCUUUGAGUGGCACAAGGCACAAGGAAUUUAUCUGGAAUUCUGACUUUUCCCUGAAAAGUCACACCCUGGAGCGGGCACACCUAACUUCUCUGGCUCCUGUCUCCAGAUGCUGCUGCUGCUGCUGCUGAGCCAAGAACCAGGCUGGGACCCGGGUCUUGAAUCAUUCGGAAAAGCCGGCUAAAUCGUCAAAGACAGAUCUCUCUGUGCUGCCUCUACCGAUAUGUCACUGGGAGCAUCCAAGAAUCACUCCUUACUUCUAGAAGUUCAUCCACAGAGCAACUGUCUGUAUUUUGGCCCUGCUCACUCUCCUGCCCUCCUGACUGCAGGGUCCAGCUGCCCCCAAUUGCCUGGCCCACAGCCCCUCUAACUUAGGAGGUCUAAAGGCAAACUCCCCAUCCCCCCAACCUGCUCCUCCUCCCAUGUUCCCACCACAGGGAGGACACUUCGGUCCACGCCCUCCCCCGGGCCUCUGGACGUUACCUCCUAAACAGCUCUCACAGCUGCCCUCCUGUCCUCCUUGCCCCGUCACUGCCCCGAUUCCAGCUGUAUCAUCUUCUCUUCAGUUCUGCAGUGGUUUCCUGACCAGACCCCCAGCCUCACCGUCCGCCAUUUUGUGUCUGUUUCCAUCUUCUCCACCAGCCAAUGAACUCCUAGAGCGCCGUGGCUCUUAACCAUGCUCAGGGGCUGCCCCACAGUAGGUGUUUAAUCAAUGCUCUCUGUGUGAAGGAAUGAGUGAGGAGCCAUGAUGUCCAGACCUGGUUCUGUUGACUCACUCACUGAUCUUGCUGAGCUCUUUCUCCUCCCUGGCCUCACUCUGCUUAUCCGAAAUGGUACCCAAAGAUCCUCAAACAUCAGGUUUGAGAUCCUAUGAGGGGAGUAAGAUACUCCCCCGCGUACCACUCCCUCAGGGGCAGCUGGAACAGCUGAGUGUCCCAUGAGAGAACUGCCCUGCGGCUCUCCUAAGCACAGGGUGACAGGUGAACUGAGAUUAGACCCUUUUUUCCCUCCCUCUCUCCUCACCCCCAGCUUGUGCCCUUCCCAGAACCUGGAAUCCCUGGGUCUGAGAAAGGUCAGCGCCUACUCCCCGCACCUCCAGACUCUUGGCAGCAGCAUCGGCCUCCCCCGGGAGCUUGUUAGAAAUGCAGAAUCUCAGGUUCCAGCCCUGCCUGGCCGAAGCGCAUCUGCAUUUUAACAAGAUCCCCAGGCGAUUCUCAUGCACAGCGCAGUCUGGAAAGCACUGAUCUAGAAAUGGAGAUGCAGACAGGAAGCAAAGGGGGAGCAGGGAGCAGAAGAGAGGAGCAAGGGCUCCUUCAAAGCAGCCUGCUUGCUGGGCCCUCCUCGGGCUCCACGUUGCUCCGUUGUUCCUGUCCCUGCCCUUCCCACCCAGGGUAGAGCCUCCACCCUCACCCCCCCAUUUGCUACCUCGUCACCCCUUUGGUUUCCUUCAUCUCACAUGGUCUUCUGCUUUCCUUCUCUAUCCCCCUUCUUCCCCAGAAAAGACAUUCUCUCCGUUUCCCUGCUGUAUCCCCAGGGCCGAGCACGUCAUAGGUGCUCGACAAGUAUCUGUUGAAUAA